rnacentral:rRNA from 1 species
AGGUCCCGAGCGUUGUCCGGAUUUAUUGGGCGUAAAGCGAGCGCAGGCGGUUUGAUAAGUCUGAAGUUAAAGGCUGUGGCUUAACCAUAGUUCGCUUUGGAAACUGUCAAACUUGAGUGCAGAAGGGGAGAGUGGAAUUCCAUGUGUAGCGGUGAAAUGCGUAGAUAUAUGGAGGAACACCGGUGGCGAAAGCGGCUCUCUGGUCUGUAACUGACGCUGAGGCUCGAAAGCGUGGGGAGCAA